GACGAACGCUGGCGGCGUGCUUAACACAUGCAAGUCGAACGGAAAGGCCCUGCUUUUGGGGGGUGCUCGUGUGGCGAACGUGUGUGAAACACGAGAAUAACCUCCCUAUGACUUUGGUAUAACUGGAGGAAACUGGGUAUAACACCGGAUAGGAGCUCCUGGUGCGUGGUGGGGUGUGGAAAGUUUCUGCGGUUGGGGAUGGACUCGCGGUUUAUCAGCUUGUUGGUGGGGUAGUGGCUUACCAAGGCUUUGACGGGUAGCCGGCCUGAGAGGGUGACCGGCCACACUGGGACUGAGAUACGGCCCAGACUCCUACGGGAGGCAGCAGUGGGGAAUAUUGCACAAUGGGCGGAAGCCUGAUGCAGCGACGCCGCGUGCGGGAUGACGGCCUUCGGGUUGUAAACCGCUUUCGCUUGUGACGAAGCGUGAGUGACGGUAAUUGCUAAAGAAGCACCGGCUAACUACGUG
rnacentral:rRNA from 1 species